rnacentral:lncRNA from 1 species
AGCAAUCUACACACAUACACUCACACACCCCGUCCCUUUCCCUCCUCGCAGAAGCCGAGGAGAUGCCAUGUGAGGGUGCAGCGAGGAGUUGGGCUGUCUAAAAGCAAAGAAAGAGAUUGCAUCAGACACCGCAUCUGCUGACACCUUGUUCUUGGACUUCCAGCUUCCAAAACCGCGAGAAAUAAAUGUCUGUGUCUAAACCCCAACCCUACCACCUCAACUGCCGUGUGUGGUGUUUUGUGAUGGCAGCCCCAGCUGACUGAGACACCUGGUUAGACCGGAAUAAGCAGUACCUGAGUCCCUUAAGAGUGGCCAAAGAAGAAAGAAUCCACUGAGUUGACAUUCCAGUUCAGCUGCAAUCGGUAGCAGUCACCAUUGAACAUCCUUGAAGCAAUUCUUCCAAAAUUACCUUGCAUCAAAGACUGCACAAGAACUGCUCUAAGCGGAAGGACUGAUGUCGGCAACCAGGGUUCCACCAGGGGCUGCAGACAGCCCUUGACCUUCAGGUGGGAAGGUGUCACUGAGUUCAGACCCUCUGGCAAUCCCUAGCUAUCAACAUUUUGAUAAGAAAAUAAGUGGAAAGUCUGCAAGAAGAACAUUGUGUGAGAAAUAUCAAGUGAGAGUGGAAGAGUCUGCGGAGGGCCUCCCUGGGGCUCACCUGUGCUUUUGCCUGAGCUUCACCGUGUCAAGGAUGCAGCACUUUUUCCCUCUGGAGGAAGCAGCUUUCACCUUGGAAGAAUCUUGACCUUGCCAUUCAAAGUCACCAGACAGGGAAUCUGCCAGUGCCUUGAUCUUAGACUUCCCAGCUUCUGUAACUGUGAGCAAUAAAUGUAUGCUGCUUAUAAACUA